rnacentral:rRNA from 1 species
AGAGUUUGAUCCUGGCUCAGAACUAACGCUGGCGGCGUGCCUAACACAUGCAAGUCGUACGAGAAAGUCGGCUUCGGCCGAUAAGUAAAGUGGCGCACGGGUGAGUAACGCGUGGGUAAUCUACCCCCCGGUCAGGAAUAACCCGCCGAAAGGCGGGCUAAUACCCGAUAACACUGACGCUCUGCGGAGUGUCUUUCAAAGAAGGCCUCUGUUUACAAGCUUUCACCGGAGGAUGAGCCCGCGUACCAUUAGCUAGUUGGCAGGGUAAUGGCCUACCAAGGCAACGAUGGUUAGCUGGUCUGAGAGGAUGACCAGCCACACUGGAACUGAGACACGGUCCAGACUCCUACGGGAGGCAGCAGUGAGGAAUCUUGCGCAAUGGGGGAAACCCUGACGCAGCAACGCCGCGUGAGUGAGGAAGGCUUUCGGGUCGUAAAGCUCUGUCGGAUGGGAAGAAAUGGUUGGGGGUUAAUACCCUCCAUCCUUGACGGUACCAUCAGAGGAAGCACCGGCUAACUCCGUGCCAGCAGCCGCGGUAAUACGGGGGGUGCAAGCGUUGUUCGGAAUCAUUGGGCGUAAAGCGCGCGCAGGCGGCUUGGUAAGUCAGAUGUGAAAUCCCUGGGCUUAACCCAGGAAGUGCAUUUGAUACUGCCUCGCUAGAGUACGGGAGAGGAAAGUGGAAUUCCUGGUGUAGAGGUGAAAUUCGUAGAUAUCAGGAGGAACACCGGUGGCGAAGCGACUUUCUGGCCCGAUACUGACGCUCAGCGCGAAAGCGUGGGGGAGCAAACAGGAUUAGAUACCCUGGUAG